rnacentral:rRNA from 1 species
UGGGGAAUAUUGCACAAUGGGCGCAAGCCUGAUGCAGCCAUGCCGCGUGUAUGAAGAAGGCCUUCGGGUUGUAAAGUACUUUCAGCGGGGAGGAAGGGAGUAAAGUUAAUACCUUUGCUCAUUGACGUUACCCGCAGAAGAAGCACCGGCUAACUCCGUGCCAGCAGCCGCGGUAAUACGGAGGGUGCAAGCGUUAAUCGGAAGUACUGGGCGUAAAGCGCACGCAGGCGGUUUGUUAAGUCAGAUGUGAAAUCCCCGGGCUCAACCUGGGAACUGCAUCUGAUACUGGCAAGCUUGAGUCUCGUAGAGGGGGGUAGAAUUCCAGGUGUAGCGGUGAAAUGCGUAGAGAUCUGGAGGAAUACCGGUGGCGAAGGCGGCCCCCUGGACGAAGACUGACGCUCAGGUGCGAAAGCGUGGGGAGCAAACAGG